rnacentral:rRNA from 1 species
GACGAACGCUGGCGGCGUGCCUAAUACAUGCAAGUCGAACGAGAGCGCCCGGUGCUUGUACUGGUCACUCUUGUCGCGAACGUGUGUGUAACACGUGGAUCCCCUCCCCAUCAGAGGGGGAUCACAUCCGGACUCGGCUGCUAACACCUCAUAGGUCCUCGAGCCGCAUGGCUUGAAGGGGAAAUGAGGCGCCAGCUUCUGCUUCUCUCUGGACCGGCGGUGUAUUAGCUUGUUGGUGAGGUAACGGCUUACCAGGGCCGUGAUGCAUAGCCGACCUGAGAGGGUGAUAGGCGACAUUAGGACGGAGACACGGCCCAAACGCCUACGGGAGGCAGCAGUAGGGAAUCGUACGCAAUGGACGCAAGUCUGACGGAGCAACGCCGCGUGAGUGAAGAAGGUUUUCGGAGCGUAAAACUCUGUUGUGAGAGAAGAACAAGUGCUAGAGUAACUGUGAGCGCCUUGACGGUAGCUAACCAGAAAGCAACGGCUAACUACGUG